GGAGGGGAGAGCAGAAGGGAAGAAGAUAAAUAAAUAAAUAAAAACGAUGUGUAUUCUUUUCUUUAUAUAUUUUUUUUCUUCCCUUCUGCUCUCCUUUU
rnacentral:miRNA from 1 species